CCUUGAGAAGUGUGGAUGUAUGCAUUCUAUACAUGCAAAAAUGUGACUGGAGACCUUUCCUGUUUAUUUAUAAAUACCUACAGGAAAGUGAUUUAUUUCUUGUGUGAAAACAGUGGUUUGGAGAGAGUUCAUGCAUACUUUAUGAGCUGACUCUGCAAUAUCACACUGCAGAUCUUCCUGGGACAAACAGCAAAGGCUGUCCUUAGCAUGCUCUCCCAUGAAUGAUUUCAUGUGCUGAUGGUAAAACUGAGAACCAGGACCAGCCUAGGGAGGAAGUCCAGGUGGAAAAAAGGAUGCCAGAGCAGCUUUAUUGGACUGAGCCAGGAGGAUGUUCAGUCCUUGUGAUAAAGUCAGGGACUGCAGCUCUUGAGGCCCUCAACUGGGCUGGAGAGACAGAUGGAUCAGUCAUGUGGCUGCUGUUGCUGAGGUACUGGCUAUCUCUUCUGUACUCCUUGGACUUCUCACAGAAGAGCAGCUGGGUUUCAGAAAAGGAAGCAGAAGAUACCAGUACACUUAAGUCCUGGGCCCUGGAUUCCCAGAACACUGCUUUCCCCCCAAGAUAUUGGCCCAAACACUCACACACCCUAGGUUCAAGGGAAGGGCAAAAGAACCGAGAAUUUGUUGGUGCCUAUAAGACUACUUGCACAGUUAUUAUAUAUUACCAAAGUAAUAAUUGUAUCUUUGAGUUUGAAUAAAGUUGAAGAA